AUGGACCGGUCAAAAGGGCAGAGGCGGGGCCGGCUCAUGUGGCUGACAGGUGGGGUCGCGGGGCCCGCCUCGCCAGGUCAACGCCCCACCUGGCCAUCUCCUUCUUCCUCUCGACAGAAGCAGGGGAGAGGCGAGGCAGUGGUGCUGCCGACGCUUGGCAUGGCGGCUCCGGCCAUCUCUGGCCAGGGGGAGGACACCAGUGGCCUCGGAACGGAGUCCCGCACUCAUCCAGGGGUGAAACGGCCGCCAGGGAGUGGUGGAGCGGAGGGGAGGCCGCGGCGACGGGGGCUACAGAGGCGGCGGUUGGUCAAGGGGCACGACACUAGAGGGGCUUUGGCGACGAGGGGAAGGGCAGGGGAGACUCGCCGGAGUUCGGGGAAGGCGAUGGUGGUGGCUAGAGGUGGGGGAGGGCUCUGCUUCGGCCGAAUUUAG
rnacentral:rRNA from 1 species